rnacentral:rRNA from 2 species
UGGGGAAUAUUGGGCAAUGGGGGGAACCCUGACCCAGCAACGCCGCGUGAAGGAAGAAGGUUUUCGGAUUGUAAACUUCUGUCCUCAGGGAAGAAGGAAGUGACGGUACCUGAGGAGGAAGCCCCGGCUAACUACGUGCCAGCAGCCGCGGUAAUACGUAGGGGGCGAGCGUUGUCCGGAAUGACUGGGCGUAAAGGGCGCGUAGACGGUUUUUUAAGUCUGGAGUGAAAGUCCUGCUUUCAAGGUGGGAAUUGCUUUGGAGACUGGGAGACUUGAGUGCGGAAGAGGUAAGUGGAAUUCCCAGUGUAGCGGUGAAAUGCGUAGAUAUCGGGAGGAACACCAGUGGCGAAGGCGGGUAACUGGACUGCAACUGACGCUGAGGCGCGAAAGUGUGGGGAGCAAACAGG